rnacentral:rRNA from 1 species
AUCGAACGCUGGCGGCAGGCCUAACACAUGCAAGUCGAACGAGAGGCGGACGGGUGAGUAAUGCUUGGGAAUCUAGCUUAUGGAGGGGGAUAACUACGGGAAACCGUAGCUAAUACUGCUUACCAUAGGAUGAGCCCAAGUGGGAUUAUGUAGUUGGUGAGGUAAAGGCUCACCAAGCCGACGAUCUCUAGCUGGUCUGAGAGGAUGAUCAGCCACACUGGGACUGAGACACGGCCCAGACUCCUACGGGAGGCAGCAGUGGGGAAUAUUGCACAAUGGGCGCAAGCCUGAUACAGCCAUGCCGCGUGUGUGAAGAAGGCCUUAGGGUUGUAAAGUACUUUCGGCAGAGAGGCGUUACCCACAGAGGAAGCACCGGCUAACUCCGUGCCAGCAGCCGCGGUAAUAC